rfam:Parcubacteria bacterium GW2011_GWB1_42_9 TV50_C0016, whole genome shotgun sequence.
GCCAGCGUAGCUCAGUUGGCAGAGCACAGGAUUCAUAAACCUGCGGUCACUGGUUCGAUCCCAGUCGCUGGCA